rnacentral:misc_RNA from 1 species
GAUGAAGAACGUAGUGAAAUGCGAUAAGUAAUGUGAAUUGCAGAAUUCAGUGAAUCAUCGAAUCUUUGAACGCACAUUGCGCCCCUUGGUAUUCCGGGGGGCAUGCCUGUCCGAGCGUCAUUGCUGCCCUCAAGCACGGCUUGUGUGUUGGGCCCCGUCCUCCGAUCCCGGGGGACGGGCCCGAAAGGCAGCGGCGGCACCGCGUCCGGUCCUCGAGCGUAUGGGGCUUUGUCACCCGCUCUGUAGGCCCGGCCGGCGCUUGCCGAUCAACCCAAAUUUUUAUCCAGGAUGACCUCGGAUCAGGUAGGGAUACCCGCUGAACUUAAGCAUAUCAAUAAGCGGAGGA